UCGCGCUAAGAUAUACCGUGUCAAGCAGUUUAUGGACUUUCGAUUUCUUUCGAGAACAGUCCACUUGAGAAAUGCGUUCCAGAACAAUUGAUGGUUUGUUGAGCUGUUAAUAAUGGACCAGAUAAGCAAGAAUAGACGCCGAACAAGACUUGGGUCUACUACCAUUGUACCAUACUGCAAGGAUAGCCUUAGGACUUCGAGCUACCUACAUUGUGGACAAGACUUGAAGGACAUCAGCUUCUAGGAGAAGCUUUCUACUAAAAGGAUUUAUUCCUUAGAGUGAGAUAUAGAUAUGAGAUAGCCUUUCGCGUCUGCCAUUACUGAAGAUCAGAUGACAGACAUACUUUUUCAAGUCCGCAGUCGAAAGUGAAAAAGUUGUGUACCGCGGACUGAGUUGGAGAACGGAGAGGAGUGAAAAAGAUGCAGGUUCGAGUUCACAUUGUCGUGUGGUCAUCAUCUGUUAUGCCACAAGAUUAACAGAUUCAUGUGUUCCUUCGUUCGACUACCCACAUUGAGUUGGCGAACUUGAACGGGGCUUGUGAAAAUUAUGGAGGUUCGAGUCCACAUUUCGGUUGCAGCAAAUAUUAUCUAUUCUACCAAGUGACUUAGUAGAUUACUUGGAUUGGACUACCCACCUAAGACUAUAGUCCUCAACAAAAACCAGGUUGAAAUCUAAAUAAGGUCUUAACUACAGUACAACAUCGUUAUUAAAGUGUAUUUUUCUUAUUAUAACAACUAUCGUGAGACAUACUAAGUUACGAACCACUGAGGGGUUCUUCCUCAUGAGCAGUGUCCGCGGUCGCGGCGAUGUCGCGCAGCUCACUGUAUUUUUCUUGUCGGUUGGUCAAACUCAAAGUCAUAAUCAUUUAUUUCAAAUAGACCAGAAAGGCACUUUUGAACGUCAACGAUAAAAUUAAAAGUGAAGCUAUUUGCUCAUUCCAAGGUGUCAUUCCUAUGGAGAAGAACGAGCAAGAAACUCCAUAGGUUGGUUUGGGUAAUUCAGCUUAGACAAGAUACGAAACCGAACUCAUUUGGACAAAUAUGUUCUAUAUGUUGUUGGAUAUCGUAACAAAAGAUUCGUAGUGAUAUUUAUGGUUCAUUCAUAUGAGAUUAGUAUUGUUCAUUGAACUUACAUGUUGACUGCCUAUUUGUGCAGAUAAAAUAAUUCUGGCACAAAACCUUUUUCCCUAGGAUGUGUACACAAAUAGAAUUGUGUUAGUUACAGAUUAGUAUUGUUCUAGAGAAAUAAUUGUUUAGGAUCCAGCUUACAUUAUAUCGUUUCUGUUUUUUAGUCGUCUUGUACAGGAAAAAUAAUCAAGUAACAUACAAUUGUUCUUUCGCAGCGUGAAGCGUUCUUAAUUGUUUUUAUUCUUGAUCGAUUAAUAAUGUACGCGGAAUCUUUUGAGUCCAACGUUUUAUUAUUAGAUUAUUGUUAAACGAUAUUAACCAUUAGGUAAGGCAUUAUCAGAUUAAUUUUGUUUACGUAGUGGGCUUUAUUGUCAUUGUAUUACAUAACUAGUUAGCGCGGAAUAUGAUAUUUUGAUACGUAUCUAUGUAAGGUCGGUUACUUUCUCGUUGUCAGUUUUUUAAUUUAAUACGUACUCAUAUUACUUAUAUUUUGUAUUGGAUUGUAUACAUCUAAUGUAAAACCAACCAACCAUGUUAGUAAUGUCCUUGAUCGGUUCUCUUCUUCUUGUUAUUGUGUGUAUUUAUUGAAUACCGCAGUGCGAGUUUGAAACCUGUUAAGUCCUCCACGGUUCAUUUAAUGAAUGCAAGAACCAUUAUUUUUGGGUACCUUAAAUAUGAAGUCAUUUAAAGUUUUUACAUCACAUAACGUAAACGUGUGGGUUAUUCAUAGACAGAUUCGUGUUGUUUUCAUAAAAAAUGACAAUCGAGUUAGUUAGGCGUAAAUAAGUCGAUAUUAUUCAGGAACAACUUUUGUAUUAGAUUGUUGGUACGGCCUGGAGCUGAUAAUUUCUUCAUAGGUAUAUAUAUCCAAUUGGAUAUUUACAGAUUAGUAUUGUUAGCCUGGAAGAACAUUGCGUGCUCUAUUGUGAACACAAUUGUUUGUUCGUUGACUUGAUAGCUGUUUAUUACGAUAAGCGUAUUUUCUAUUACUGUGAAAUAUUUUG